UACGAAGGAUACAUAGAUCGU
rnacentral:piRNA from 1 species